rnacentral:rRNA from 1 species
AGAGUUUGAUCCUGGCUCAGAAUCAACGCUGGCGGCGUGCCUCAGACAUGCAAGUCGAACGCGAAAGUCCCCUUCGGGGGGCAAGUAGAGUGGCGCACGGGUGAGUAACACGUAGGUAAUCUACCUUUGGAUUGGGAAUAACCACCGGAAACGGUGGCUAAUACCGAAUAAUGCAGCGGCACCUAAUGGUGACAGUUGUUAAAGCGGGGGAUCGAAAGACCUCGCGUCUGAAGAGGAGCCUGCGGCAGAUUAGCUAGUUGGUAAGGUAACGGCUUACCAAGGCGAUGAUCUGUAGCCGGCCUGAGAGGGCGGUCGGCCACACUGACACUGACAUACGGGUCAGACUCCUACGGGAGGCAGCAGUCGGGAAUUUUGGGCAAUGGGCGAAAGCCUGACCCAGCAACGCCGCGUGAAGGAUGAAAUCCCUCGGGAUGUAAAUCUUCGCAAGAACGGGAAGAAUAAGUAAGAGUUAACAUCUCUUACGAUGACGG